rnacentral:rRNA from 1 species
AGUGAACGCUGGCGGUAGGCCUAACACAUGCAAGUCGAACGGCAGCACAGGAGAGCUUGCUCUCUGGGUGGCGAGUGGCGGACGGGUGAGGAAUACAUCGGAAUCUACCUUUUCGUGGGGGAUAACGUAGGGAAACUUACGCUAAUACCGCAUACGACCUACGGGUGAAAGUGGGGGACCGCAAGGCCUCACGCGAUUAGAUGAGCCGAUGUCCGAUUAGCUAGUUGGCGGGGUAAUGGCCCACCAAGGCGACGAUCGGUAGCUGGUCUGAGGGGAUGAUCAGCCAAACUGGAACUGAGACACGGUCCAGACUCCUACGGGAGGAAGCAGUGGGGAAUAUUGGACGAUGGGCGCAAGCCUGAUCCAGCCAUACCGCGUGGGUGAAGAAGGCCUUCGGGUUGUAAAGCCCUUUUGUUGGGAAAGAAAUCCUAUCGGUUAAUAACCGGUGGGGAUGACGGUACCCAAAGAAUAAGCACCGGCUAACUUCGUGCCAGCCGCCGCGGUAA